GUUACAUGUCUCAUCCUUCCUCCCACGCGAUCCCGAUCCCCGGCAGCGCUCGAGGAGGGCUUUGGCCUUUCGUAGGCCCGAUCUCAGCAAGCGCAGUGAGAGAGAGAGAGAGAGAGAGAGAGAGAGAGAGAGAGAGAGAUCUCAAGAAGCCGGCGAUCUUGACCUCGGGAAAGCUUCACUAUGUGCCGUUGGUGGGGACUGAGUGAAGGCCACGAAGAGGAACCGUUUGGUGAUGUUGCUGUGAUCUGAAGUGGAGAUGAACACUGUCGGCUUUGAUUCUCGCCUAUAACUGGAGAAGUGUACUUCAUUAACAAAAAGAGUGGGGUAAGGAUCAACAACAAGCCUCAUAAUGCACAAGGGCAUAGUUAUGGUAAUACAAAAAUCAACAGGGUCAAUGGAAAGUCUGUUGCCUUUGUUGCCCCAGCUCCCAUUCCAACGGUGUUGGUUGUUUGUAACAAGUGUACCAAGUGCAUGAUGGUUGCCAAGGACACCAAGGCUUGCCCUAGAUGCGGCCAAAUUUUGAUCCAUUUCAUCGAUGAAAGGUGCUUCUGAACGAAAUGAAUGAAAAUCCGUGGACCUCAGUUAUAUGGUGUGUAAAUGUAAAGUUUUGUAGUGAGACUAUUAUGUGCUCUUUCGCUUUGUUUUUUAUUGCAAUCAGUAUCCUAUCUAGGGUUAUGUUUUGUGUCGAGUCUCUAGAGAGUGUUGUUUUGUGUUGUGUACUUUUCAAUUUCAAUUGAUAUUUCUAUAAUAGCAUUUGGGAUUUCAUGUUCGGAAA